CCUCUCGCAGAAACUCCAAAAAAAUUUGGGUGCUCUAGUUUUACACCUUCAUACAGCAACCUUUUAUGAUCAUGGGAUGGAAAUAGCGGAUUCUCAUGUUUCUGAGUGAGCAGAUAUCCAACCUCUGCACUCACCGGUGUUUGGUCCCAAAAAUUCGGGGUUUCUAGGGAGAGCGCUGGUAAUUUCUUUGCUCGGCCGAUGAAGAGCGCGACAAGCAAGCAGACAGACCUUCGUGGACGGCAGUAGCCUGAAUUCCGCAGCACACACAUUAGGAAGAGGACUCCUGUCACGUCCGUCAAGAAGCUCUCGACCCCCUUCGACUCGUAUCAUAGCACCCUGUUCUGGUCUCGAAAAGCGUGAUCAUCUGCAAAUGAGUGGGGGGUAAACUAGCGUAGAGCAGACGAGAACGCAGCGGCGUCUCAGGAUCUCCGUCCUCUUCCACCGAUUCCAAGCGCUGGGACGGGCGAGUCCCUUGGUGGAGACUGUGGAUUAAGUAGUAGAAAAACUACAAAAUCCACAAUUUGGACAGGGUGCUAUGAUAUGAGCAUGUAACUUGCAUGAACCAAGUCAUCCAUAUUUCUAAAAGCGCCAGCUUCAUGAUCGCCAGCGGAGGGUAUCCUCUGCCAGCGAGCCUUGCAGCGACUGCGGGAAGGGGUUGACGGUGGUGGAUGCCACAGGGAAGAUGAAGACCAAUGAGGAUGGAAUAAAGGGGAGGAAGGAGGAGGGCAGGCGAGGGCUGCAGAUCGAGUUGCCGGCGAUUGAAGGAGAACAGAUGUGUCGAAUCAGCAUGCUUCCGCUACAUAUUUAAAGGCAGUGAAUAGUUCGCAUUUCAUAAGUUCGGAAAAGGUCGUCAGGCUAGCGGAUGAGGUGGAAUCCUUGUUCACCUUGCACUAUAUAUUUAUGGGGUUUCAUGACAGGCUAGAGAAUGAACACUUGAACAAUGCGGGUAAGUUCAGGGCUGUGAAGGCGGUGCCGCUUCCUUUCCAGGAGAUGGAUGACGAUGAGGAAAUAGUUUGAUUGAUUAGAGACUAUGAGAAUUGCUAAGUUGGGAGAUUUGAUCUGGUUAUGGAAAUCUUAAAACUUAUUCAGUUUGA